GAAUUUUUGGCCUCAUUUUCACGUAACACAAACCCUAGCCCCCUCUCUUCUCUCCCACUCCUCCUCUGCCGCUGCCCCCGCCUUCUCCAUGGCGGCACCACCACCUGCCGCCGUCCAAACACUCCCAAAACUUCACCCAACCAUCCCUCUCUUCACCUUUUACCUGAAUCCAAACCCCAUAUCUCUCAAAUCCCUCUCAAUCCUCUCAAGUCUACUCCAAAACCGAACUCUAGCCGCCGCCUAUUUUCUCGAAUUAGACGAACUCUGGCCAUCCCUACACUUUAAUUCUUUCAUCACCGGAUAGAUCUCUUAAAGAUCUAUCAAUCCCCCUUUGGUUUCACGGCCGAACUCCGACGACCAAAAUUCCGGCGACCAUCACUUCCAUACCACCAUUACUACUUGAAAUUGCCUUCUUUUUGAGUCAUUAAGCUUGAGACAUUGUGCGCUCUUCAAUAAGUUGGCUAUUUUUUGUUAUAUCGAUUGGAGAUGGCACAACAUCCCAAGUUUGGUGGCUGCCCGUUUGUUAUUCCGGCAAGCCGAUUGAUUCUCCAAGACUCGUGUAUUCAGUAAACCCUGUCUCCUUUUUUCUUUUUCUGAUUUUUCGAUUUUGUAACUUGUAUCAGGUUUAAGGCUUAAUUUUUUAUUCAUGUUUCUGUUAGUUAUGUAUAAAUGAAUGAUGAUCAUAUAAGUUUUGAAUUACCUAUUACUUCAUAACUUUGAAUCAUAUUUUAGCUCAGGUUUUGUUAAAUUCCGUUUUCACAAUAAUUGUGAUUGUAGUCGUUCACUAUUUUUAUACUUGAACCAGCUUAUAUCAAUCUAGUUUGUUUGAGUGUUGCUUUAUCAAUCCAUAGUUUGUUGAGUUUGAAGUUUUGAGUUUUGAAUUCAGUUAUUUGUUGAUAAAGUCAGGGGUACUUGAGUGUAGGGCCCAUGUUUGGUUGCUUUUAGUGUUUUAAUAGCUAUUUUGAGUACACUGUUCCAAACACUACACACAGUUGGUAAAGCAAUUGUUCUUUAGACAGAUUUUUGACCAAAAAUCUGUCCAUUGAACUGUUGGGACAGAUUUUUGGUGGAAAAUCUAUCCUUGAAUAUAGGUUGUCAAUAAUAAUUGAAUGCCACCCUCUCCUAUGAAAGGAGAGGUCUUUCUUUCAAUUAAGUUGCAGAUUUUUCAGACACUCUUAACACACUUAGACAUCACCUUCUACACUCUAAAAAGGCACACAAACUUCAGAAGAGAUCACCUGAACAUACAUAAUAGUAAGCUGAAAAUUCUGAACUUCGUGAGUGCUUCCUAGAGUGUAAAACUUGUAAGAAAAUAAAGGAAUCCUAGGUGAUUGCUGGGGAAGUAGCUACUGGUUUCAAAUACUUUUUUGUUGGAUUUUUCUGGGUUGUUUCUCGGGUCAUAAGUUGUUGAUUUUGCUACUGUUGCGUUGCUAUUUGUUGCUGAAAUUUAGUUCCUCCCUUGCUGACAUUUUCUUUCUGCUAUCCAGGUAAUUCUCUUAAAGUGCUACAGUAAUUUUGAGUCAAGAAUGAAUGGAGACGAACCAAUUUGAGUUCUCUUCAGUUUGUUCUAAGCUUUUAAAGCAUUCUGUUUUUUUGUAAGGUUUUGUGUGUGAGCAUAUAUAAUAAAUAGUUGCUUUGUUAUUGUGACUCACUGUCACCUUUGUUUUUUUUUUUUUUUUGUUUGUUUUUUGUAAAAAAUCGCCAACAAAACAGCAAUGUACUGAUAUAGGUUCAAAUGUUUAAGUUUCUGUCUCAAUUUUUAAUAUCAUAAAUUUAGUUAAAUGUAUAAGGUAUUUCCAUGAAAACAACAUGUUAACUUGCCUUUUCUUUCCUUGGUUUUAAACAUGGAGUAAAUAUUAUAGGUAUCAAUUAGUUUUUCUUUGUGGUUACAUGACAAAUGAAAUCUGUGGUGUUGUUAUGUAUUUUAUUUCUUUGUCUCAGCCCGUAGUUGAGCUUAAAUUAGGUGCUCUGCUUUAUUGGUUUUGAAAAGGUUUCUAUUUUCAUGUAGAGCAGUUUUGAUAAUGAAUUGGCA
rnacentral:lncRNA from 1 species